rnacentral:tRNA from 1 species
GCCCAGGUAGCUCAGGUGGUAGAGCAUACGAUUGAAAAUCGUAGUGUCGGAGGUUCGAAUCCUUCCCUGGGCA